rnacentral:rRNA from 1 species
AGUGGCGGACGGGUGAGUAACGCGUGAGCAAUCUGCCUUGGGGUCGGGGACAACCACUGGAAACGGUGGCUAAUACCGGAUACGCCUUCGGGUAAAAGAUUUAUUGCCCUAAGAGGAGCUCGCGUCUGAUUAGCUAGUUGGUGAGGUAAGAGCUCACCAAGGCAGCGAUCAGUAGCUGGUCUGAGAGGACGAUCAGCCACACUGGGACUGAGACACGGCCCAGACUCCUACGGGAGGCAGCAGUGGGGAAUUUUCCGCAAUGGGCGAAAGCCUGACGGAGCAAGACCGCGUGAGGGAGGAAGGCUCUUGGGUUGUAAACCUCUUUUCUCAGGGAAGAAGCUCUGACGGUACCUGAGGAAUCAGCCUCGGCUAACUCCGUGCCAGCAGCCGCGGUAAUACGGAGGAGGCAAGCGUUAUCCGGAAUUAUUGGGCGUAAAGCGUCCGCAGGUGGCGAUUCAAGUCUGCUGUCAAAGCACGGGGCUUAACUCCGUAAAGGCAGUGGAAACUGAAUAGCUAGAGUGCCGUAGGGGUAGAGGGAAUUCCCGGUGUAGCGGUGAAAUGCGUAGAGAUCGGGAAGAACAUCGGUGGCGAAAGCGCUCUACUGGACGGCAACUGACACUCAGGGACGAAAGCUAGGGGAGCGAAUGGGAUUAGAUACCCC